UACGAAGGGUGCAAGCGUUACUCGGAAUUACUGGGCGUAAAGCGUGCGUAGGUGGUUCGUUAAGUCUGAUGUGAAAGCCCUGGGCUCAACCUGGGAAUGGCAUUGGAAACUGGCGACCUAGAGUGCGGUAGAGGGUAGUGGAAUUCCCGGUGUAGCAGUGAAAUGCGUAGAUAUCUGGAGGAACACCGGUGGCGAAGGCGGCGUUCUGGACUGUUUCUGACACUGAUAAACGAAAGCCAGGGGAGCAAACGGG
rnacentral:rRNA from 1 species